CUUGUUGUCGUCAUUUUACAGAUACCGCUCCUAAGGCCCAGAGAUGUCGAGCAGUUUGCCCAAGGUCAGUGAGCAUUCUGGGCCUCUGGGGUCCUUGGCCAGGGCUGCUGCGGCUGGACAGGAUUAUGUGUCUGAGCUCUGGCUAUGCGCCACCCAGAGGGUUUGACCAGAGCUGCUGCCAAACACAGCCCCUGGGCUGUGUCCACCUCUGCUGUCUACAACUGUGGGGCCACUAGCCAUGGAUCUUGGCACUCUCCCCACCCCAUCUUAUCCCCAAAGCCACUUCAAACCCUGCUCCUCUCCUGCAUACAUCUCAAGUGAGUCCCUAUCUGUCUGGUGAAAGGCCGGCUGUUUGGUGUUUGCCUCAACCUGAACUUUAAGAUCCAUUCACUCAUUCAACAAGUAUUUAUUGCACUCUUAUUAGGUGCCAGGCACUGUCCUUAGACUUGGGGACCUGGCUGUAAAUACAAAUGUCUCCAUUCUGCACCUUAUAUUUCAACUGGGGAGACGAGGUAUUAGGCACUUAAAUAUAUCACAUAAAGGAGAGUACUAAUUAAGUGUGACAAAGGGAAGUCAGGCAGGGGGAUGGUAGGGCUACUUCUGAUAAGGUAAUUCAUCAGGCAAAAUUUUAUAAGCAGGUAAUAUUCGUGCAGAGACCUGAGUGAGGAGAGGGAGUAGGUCGUGGAUAUGUGAGGGGGAAGGAAUUGCAAACGCAAAGGAUGCAAAGGCCUGAAGCCAGCUGUGUCGGUCUUCUCACCAGGGUCAGGAC
rnacentral:lncRNA from 1 species